rnacentral:misc_RNA from 1 species
AAGAAUCGCCCCGUUUUUUGAAAUGGGUUCUAUUCCCAAACCGUGUAUACAUACCUUUGUUGCUUUGGCAGGCCGCCUUUUAGGCGUCGGCUUCGGCUGGCCAGCGCCUGCCAGAGGACCUAAAACUCCUGUUAAUAAUGUCGUCUUGAGUACUAUAUAAUAGUUA